rnacentral:rRNA from 1 species
GAUGAACGCUGACAGAAUGCUUAACACAUGCAAGUCGACUCGAGUCUUCGGACUUGGGUGGCGCACGGGUGAGUAACGCGUAAAGAACUUGCCUCUUAGACCGGGACAACAUCUGGAAACGGAUGCUAAUACCGGAUAUUCUGCUUUUGCCGCAUGGUGGGGGUUGGAAAGAUUUUUUGGAUGGGGGAUGGGCUCACGGCCUAUCAGCUUGUUGGUGGGGUGAUGGCCUACCAAGGCGUCGACGGGUAGCCGGCCUGAGAGGGGUGACCGGCCACAUUGGGACUGAGAUACGGCCCAG